rnacentral:tRNA from 1 species
ACUUGAAUAGCUUAUGGUUAGAGUAUAACAUUGAAGAUGUUAGGGAGAUUAAAUAAUCUUUAAGUA